UACGAAGGGGGCUAGCGUUGCUCGGAAUCACUGGGCGUAAAGCGCACGUAGGCGGCUUUCUAAGUCAGGGGUGAAAUCCUGGAGCUCAACUCCAGAACUGCCUUUGAUACUGGAAAGCUUGAGUUCGGGAGAGGUGAGUGGAACUGCGAGUGUAGAGGUGAAAUUCGUAGAUAUUGGGAAGAACACCAGUGGCGAAGGCGGCUCACUGGCUCGUAUCUGACGCUCAGGCGCGACAGCGUGGGGAUCAAACAGG
rnacentral:rRNA from 1 species